CAGCAAUUUUACACUGUUAUACAGGCUGUACACUUACUACUUUACAUUGUAGCUGAGUGUCAUUUCUUCAGUGUUGUCACAUGAAAAGAUAAAAUAAAAUAUUUACAAAAAUGUGAGGGCUGUACUCACUUUUGUGAGAUACUGUAUAUACUUCCUGAAAAAGAAGUCUAAAUGCGUUGGCUCCUAUUUUUGCAGUGCAUGUUUAAAUAAUUAGCGACUGAUGACAUAUCUCACACAGGGCUCCAUCAAUGCCGAGGGCCUCAAUAACUCCACCAAAAGAAAUGGCCUCCUCCCCUAGGCACAUAGGCUUUAAGCCAACAUAUUGUUAGUACAGGAAAUCCACUUUACUGCAACAUACCAUUUCCCUUUAUU